rnacentral:rRNA from 1 species
AGAGUUUGAUCCUGGCUCAGGAUGAACGCCGGCGGUGUGCCUAAUACAUGCAAGUCGUACGCACUGGCCCAACUGAUUGAUGGUGCUUGCACCUGAUUGACGAUGGAUCACCAGUGAGUGGCGGACGGGUGAGUAACACGUAGGUAACCUGCCUCGGAGCGGGGGAUAACAUUUGGAAACAGAUGCUAAUACCGCAUAACAACAAAAGCCACAUGGCUUUUGUUUGAAAGAUGGCUUUGGCUAUCACUCUGGGAUGGACCUGCGGUGCAUUAGCUAGUUGGUAAGGUAACGGCUUACCAAGGCAAUGAUGCAUAGCCGAGUUGAGAGACUGAUCGGCCACAAUGGAACUGAGACACGGUCCAUACUCCUACGGGAGGCAGCAGUAGGGAAUCUUCCACAAUGGGCGCAAGCCUGAUGGAGCAACACCGCGUGAGUGAAGAAGGGUUUCGGCUCGUAAAGCUCUGUUGUUGGGGAAGAACGUGCGUGAGAGUAACUGUUCACGCAGUGACGGUAUCCAACCAGAAAGUCACGGCUAACUACGUGCCAGCAGCCGCGGUAAUACGUAGGUGGCAAGCGUUAUCCGGAUUUAUUGGGCGUAAAGCGAGCGCAGGCGGUUGCUUAGGUCUGAUGUGAAAGCCUUCGGCUUAACCGAAGAAGUGCAUCGGAAACCGGGCGACUUGAGUGCAGAAGAGGACAGUGGAACUCCAUGUGUAGCGGUGGAAUGCGUAGAUAUAUGGAAGAACACCAGUGGCGAAGGCGGCUGUCUGGUCUGCAACUGACGCUGAGGCUCGAAAGCAUGGGUAGCGAACAGGAUUAGAUACCCUGGUAGUCCAUGCCGUAAACGAUGAGUGCUAGGUGUUGGAGGGUUUCCGCCCUUCAGUGCCGGAGCUAACGCAUUAAGCACUCCGCCUGGGGAGUACGACCGCAAGGUUGAAACUCAAAGGAAUUGACGGGGGCCCGCACAAGCGGUGGAGCAUGUGGUUUAAUUCGAAGCUACGCGAAGAACCUUACCAGGUCUUGACAUCUUGCGCUAACCUUAGAGAUAAGGCGUUCCCUUCGGGGACGCAAUGACAGGUGGUGCAUGGUCGUCGUCAGCUCGUGUCGUGAGAUGUUGGGUUAAGUCCCGCAACGAGCGCAACCCUUGUUACUAGUUGCCAGCAUUAAGUUGGGCACUCUAGUGAGACUGCCGGUGACAAACCGGAGGAAGGUGGGGACGACGUCAGAUCAUCAUGCCCCUUAUGACCUGGGCUACACACGUGCUACAAUGGACGGUACAACGAGUCGCAAGCUCGCGAGAGUAAGCUAAUCUCUUAAAGCCGUUCUCAGUUCGGACUGUAGGCUGCAACUCGCCUACACGAAGUCGGAAUCGCUAGUAAUCGCGGAUCAGCAUGCCGCGGUGAAUACGUUCCCGGGCCUUGCACACACCGCCCGUCA